rnacentral:antisense_RNA from 18 species
CUUCAUGGCAGCCGUGUUCGGGCAGACCUCUGGUCUGGCCGGGUUUCAUGUCCUCGGUUUCUCACCCCGUACACGGUUGCCACCCAA